rnacentral:rRNA from 1 species
GACGUAGGGCGCGAGCGUUGUCCGGAUUUAUUGGGCGUAAAGAGCUCGUAGGCGGCUUGUCGCGUCGUUCGUAGUGAAAACCCCGGGGCUCAACUCCGGGCUUGCGGGCGAUACGGGCAGGACUGAGUGAUCGUCGGGGGAGACUGAAUUCCUGGUGUAGCGGUGGAAAUGCGCAGAUAUCAGGAGGAACACCGGUGGCGAAGGCGGAUCUCUGGGCCUUACCUGACGCUCAGGUGCGAAAGCGUAGGGGAGCGAACAGG